rnacentral:rRNA from 1 species
UCAAGAAACUUCCACAAUGGGCGAAAGCCUGAUGGAGCGACGUCGCGUGAUGGACGAAGUGCUUCGGCACGUAAACAUCUUUUAUGUGGGAUGAAAUUAUUGACAGUACCACAUGAAUAAGGGGCUCCUGACUCUGUGCCAGCAGGAGCGGUAAUACAGAGGCCCCAAGCGUUAUCCGGAAUCACUGGGCGUAAAGGGUGUCGAGGCGGUUGUAUUAGUCGUUCGUAAAAUCUACGAGCUUAACUUGUAGGCGGCGAACGAAACGGUACGACUUGAGGUUUGGAGAGGUGCGUGGAACUCACGGUGUAGGGGUGAAAUCCGUUGAUAUCGUGGGGAACACCAAAGGCGAAGGCAGCGCACUGGCCAAAAUCUGACGCUCACACACGAAAGCUAGGGUAGCGAAGAGGAUUAGAUACCCAUGUAGUCCCUGAGCGGGCUGGCAAGGCGCAU